rnacentral:rRNA from 1 species
UACGGAGGAUCCAAGCGUUAUCCGGAUUUAUUGGGUUUAAAGGGUGCGUAGGCGGCCUAUUAAGUCAGGGGUGAAAGACGGUGGCUCAACCAUCGCAGUGCCUUUGAUACUGAUGGGCUUGAAUGAACCUGAGGUAGGCGGAAUGUGACAAGUAGCGGUGAAAUGCAUAGAUAUGUCACAGAACACCAAUUGCGAAGGCAGCUUACUAAAGUUUAAUUGACGCCGAGGCACGAAAGCGUGGGGAUCAAACAGG